GAGAGUAUAGCUCCGUAGUAGAGUGUGUGCCUAGAAUGCACAAGGUCCUGGGUUCAAUCCCCAGCACCUCCA
rnacentral:tRNA from 1 species